CGCUGUAAGGUAAACUAUACAUACACAAGCAGCAGCUUGCAUCUCUUUUGUUUUGUCUGAAGACUGGAGUUCUAUCUAUUCGUCUUUUCCAAAGCAUCUGGGAUACCUUUCUGCAACAAUGCCUCCUCCUGGUGUGUGUCUAAAUAUCAUGAAAGAGCGCCACAAGAAAGAUGGCCGUGGUAGCCUUGCCAACCCCCUGAAAUUCCUCAACCAAGACUUUGAACAGAUGAAGCAGUACUGUAUUGCUCGGGAGGUUCGCUUUGUCGAUGACAUGUUUCCCCCAGACCAUAAUUCAAUUGGCGAAGGACUACUGUCCCCCUCCGACAUGGGAAGAGUGCAGUGGCUGAGGCCACAUAGAAUUGCCCAGAAUCCCUCUUUUAUUGUUGAUGGAAUUUCAAGAUUUGAUUUUGGGCAAGGCAUAGUUGGUAACUGCUGGUUCCUUGCCUCCAUUGGGGCACUGACAUUCCAAAAGCAUAUCCUGGAACAAGUUGUGCCUCUCAAUCAAUCAUUUCAACAAGAAUAUUGUGGAAUAUUCCAUUUCAGGUUCUGGAGGUUUGGAAAGUGGGAGGAUGUUUUGAUUGAUGACAAGCUACCGACAAUUGACGGCAAUCUAAUUUUUGUCCGAUCCAAAACUCCAAAUGAGUUUUGGCCUGCUUUGGUGGAGAAGGCAUACGCCAAAGUUUGUGGCUCCUAUGCAGACAUGAAUGCAGGGACGCCCUCUGAGGCUUUGGUGGAUUUUACUGGCGGGAUCCACUUGUGUAUCCAGCUUGCAGAAGGCUCCCCUAACCUAUGGGAUCUAAUGUCUAGAGCUGCCCAAGCAAAAUCACUGAUGGGGUGUGGUACUCCUCAAGGGGAAACAUCAGCCAACACUGUUGCAGAGAACGGAUUAGUGAGGGGCCAUGCAUAUACUGUUACAGGUGUCACUGAGCUCACGAGAAAUGGAAGACCAGUGAAACUGGUGCGUCUGUGGAACCCCUGGGGCGAAAGGGAAUGGAACGGGGAUUGGAGCGACAAGUCCCCCUUGUGGCAGAACGUGAGUCCUGAGGAUCGUCUGAAAUGUCUCUCAGUGAAGGAUGACGGAGAAUUCUGGAUGACAAUUGAGGAUUUCUGCAGCAACUACUCAGAUUUGGAUAUCUGCUCUCUGUGCCCUGACUUCCUUGAUGGAAAUGCAUCAUGUCACUGGGGUUGUUCCGUCCAUGAUGGCAGAUGGCUUGCUGGAACUACUGCUGGUGGAUGUUUAAAUUAUCGAGACAGUUUCUGGACAAACCCUCAGUAUCGGUUAAAGAUUGAAGGUCUGGAUGAGGAUUGUGCUGAGAAACAAGGGGAAAAAAACAUGCUGGUCUCUCUGAUGCAGAAGCCUGACAAGCGAAACAGACGCCUGGUUAAAACCCUCCACAUUGGAUUCUCCAUUUUUGAGGUGCCUGAACAAUACAAGCGUCUAGAAGGAAAGUUCCCAGCAUCUUUCUUUGCCACCAAUGCACCUGUGGGUCAAUCCAAGAAUUAUCUAAAUGCUCGUGAAGUCAUGGAGCUGUUCCGUCUGAAGCCUGGUGAAUAUCUGAUCGUGCCAUCCACCUUCAAACCGAAUGAAACAGCAUCUUUCAUCUUGUCCAUCCUUUCCAAGGCAGAGACCAACAUCCAUGAAAAUUCUGAUGGUCAUGACCACAUGGAAGUCACAAAGCCCAAACCAAUGGAAAAUGAAGACAAUGAAGACAAUAAAAACAAGAAAACGCUUUUUCGCCAAUACUCUGACAAGUAUGAAGAAGUGGAUGCUGAGUUGCUUCAAAAGAUUUUGAACGACAAUGUUCUUAAGGGACAAACAAACAAUGGUGGCUUCAGCCUAGAUUCCUGUCGAAGCAUGGUUGCUCUGAUGGAUACAUCCAUCACUGGAAAACUGAACAGUGCAGAAUUCCUCCGUCUGUUGAGGAAAGUGAACAUGUUCCAGGACAUCUUCUUUGCAACGGAUGUCUCCCUCACUGGAACUUUAUCAUUGAGUGAACUGAGAAAUGCAAUCAUGGCUUCAGGAAUGACGGUCAGUGAUGGCAUGUUGAACCUGAUGGCCGUACGCUAUGGUGGCUCGUCUGGAAACAUGUCCCUGGAAAGCUUCAUAAGCCUGGUCCUUCGCCUGGACUGCAUGGCCAAAAUAUUCCGGCAGCUUUCUGAAGGAUCAACCAUGUCUCUUCAGGAAUCUGAGGUAGUAAUUCAAAAGUGUUAAUAUAAUGUUUCAAGCUGUGUAAGUGCUGUCUUUGUAUGUUACUGUGUUAAAGUAUAACAUCAAUGUGACACACUUUCACAUCUUUCAUGGUUAUUAGGUGAGUUUUACUUUUUCUUUUUCAGUGGAUGUAUAUGUCAAUGUAUACAUAAACCAUUUACCUCUGGAUGAUGGAUCAACAAUGUUGGAAUAAUUCAGAUGGAGCUGAUGUACAACAUGUUGAACAAGUUGAUGUUAACUGUACAGUAUUUGCAAAAUGUCCGCAAUUUAAAAAAAAUAUUUAGUCAACAUUUUCCUCUAAUGUUGCUAGAAUGACCCUUACAAUUGAUCUUAUGAUAUCACAUUUAUUAUACUAGAGUAGUAUUUCUUUAAAAAAAACUUUACAAAAACUGUUUAAUAACCUUUAUAUAAAAUAGAAACAUUUAAUUAGCUAUUUGUUUGUCCUUUUUCCAAUAUGCAUGUUUUUUUGUUUGUUUUUGUUUUUAAGAUACUCAAAAUAUGCUUAAAAGAUGCUAAAAAUUGGUUAACUAACUUCAUAGCUAUUAUGAACUAUGUAGCGUAGGUAACCAAAGGAGUUAACAUUCAUUUUGUAACAUGUUUGCCUUGUAAUUGAUUUCAUUCAUUUGCAACAUUAUUUAAUAUAUAUUGGGAGUCAGGUGGCUGAGCGGUGAGGGAAGCGGGCUAGUAAUCUGAAGGUUGCCAGUUCGAUUCCCGGCCGUGCCAAAUGACGUUGUGUCCUUGGGUCUGCUAAAUGACUAAAUGUAAAUGUAAAUAUAUUGAUUGGUUGUUCUCGUGUAUGAAAUUAAUUGUGAAGCCUUGCUGUGUGUAUUCUUGUUCUCCUGAGACAUUCUCCUCAGCUCUGGCUUGUCCUUGUACUCAUUCUCUUUGCUAACUCUUUGCUGUCUCUCUGAUUUACAAAUUAAUAGUCAUGGUAGCGUAGGUAAGAGUUAACCUUCAUUUUGUAACAUGUUUGCCUUGUAAUUGAUUUCAUUCAUUUGCAACGUUAUUAAAUGUAUAUUUCAUUUAACCUUA